GACGAACGCUGGCGGCGUGCUUAACACAUGCAAGUCGAACGGAAAGGCCCUGCUUUUGUGGGGUGCUCGAGUGGCGAACGGGUGAGUAACACGUGAGUAACCUGCCCUUGACUUUGGGAUAACUUCAGGAAACUGGGGCUAAUACCGGAUAGGAGCUCCUGCUGCAUGGUGGGGGUUGGAAAGUUUCGGCGGUUGGGGAUGGACUCGCGGCUUAUCAGCUUGUUGGUGGGGUAGUGGCUUACCAAGGCUUUGACGGGUAGCCGGCCUGAGAGGGUGACCGGCCACAUUGGGACUGGAAUACGGCCCAGACUCCUACGGUAGGCAGCAGUGGGGAAUAGUGCACAAUGGGCGGAAGCCUGAUGCAGCAACGCCGCGUGCGGGAUGACGGCCUUCGGGUUGUAAUCCGCUUUCGCCUGUGACGAAGCGUGAGUGACGGUAAUGGGUAAAGAAGCACCGGCUAACUACGUG
rnacentral:rRNA from 1 species